GAAGAUGUAGCUCAGAGGGGAGAGCGUUAGCACAUCGGGUUAUAGGUCGUUGGUUCGAAUCCAAUCAUCUUCA